rnacentral:tRNA from 1 species
GAGGGAUUCGAACCCUCGGUAAACAGGAGCUUACAUAGCAUUUCCA